GCGCCUAUAGCUCAGCUGGAUAGAGUACUUCCCUGCGAAGGAAGGGGUCGUGCGUUCAAAUCGCACUAGGCGCA
rfam:Candidate division WOR-1 bacterium RIFCSPHIGHO2_01_FTLL_53_15 rifcsphigho2_01_scaffold_2809, whole genome shotgun sequence.